AACAUCUCUGGGCAGUAGACCCGCUGUCUUCCAUUACGAUGGCAAGAGCCAGAAGUCUUGAGGGUACAGAUGCGUUACGAUACUUUGGGAAUGGAAUGAUUUUCAUUCACCCACAGAUGCAUAUUAGAAGAAUGAAUGAUCUUUCCCUGAAACCUCAAGAGAUUGAAAAUUUAUAACUAAGCCUUUUAAAAGACCGUCAGAUUCUACUUUCAGG
rnacentral:lncRNA from 1 species